CAGCAGCCACGGUAAUACAGAGGGUGCGAGCGUUAAUCGGAUUUACUGGGCGUAAAGCGUGCGUAGGCGGCUAAUUGAGUCGGAUGUGAAAUCCCCGAGCUUAACUUGGGAAUUGCAUUCGAUACUGGUUAGCUAGAGUGUGGGAGAGGAUGGUAGAAUUCCAGGUGUAGCGGUGAAAUGCGUAGAGAUCUGGAGGAAUACCGAUGGCGAAGGCAGCCAUCUGGCCUAACACUGACGCUGAGGUACGAAAGCAUGGGGAGCAAACAGGAUUAGAGACCCCCGUAGUCCCUGUCUCUUAUAA
rnacentral:rRNA from 1 species